rnacentral:rRNA from 1 species
CCUACGGGAGGCAGCAGUGGGGAAUAUUGGACAAUGGGGGGAACCCUGAUCCAGCCAUGCCGCGUGUGUGAAGAAGGCCUUUUGGUUGUAAAGCACUUUAAGCUAGGAGGAGGCUACUCUAGUUAAUACCUAGGGAUAGUGGACGUUACUCGCAGAAUAAGCACCGGCUAACUCUGUGCCAGCAGCCGCGGUAAU